rnacentral:rRNA from 1 species
UGGUAAUGCCGGAUGCUCCAGUUGACCGCAUGGUCCUCUGGGAAAGCUUUUGCGGUAUGGGAUGGGGUCGCGUCCUAUCAGCUUGAUGGCGGGGUAACGGCCCACCAUGGCUUCGACGGGUAGCCGGCCUGAGAGGGCGACCGGCCACAUUGGGACUGAGAUACGGCCCAGACUCCUACGGGAGGCAGCAGUGGGGAAUAUUGCACAAUGGGCGCAAGCCUGAUGCAGCGACGCCGCGUGCGGGAUGACGGCCUUCGGGUUGUAAACCGCUUUUGACUGGGAGCAAGCCCUUCGGGGUGAGUGUACCUUUCGAAUAAGCACCGGCUAACUACGUGCCAGCAGCCGCGGUAAUACGUAGGGUGCAAGCGUUAUCCGGAAUUAUUGGGCGUAAAGGGCUCGUAGGCGGUUCGUCGCGUCCGGUGUGAAAGUCCAUCGCUUAACGGUGGAUCCGCGCCGGGUACGGGCGGGCUUGAGUGCGGUAGGGGAGACUGGAAUUCCCGGUGUAACGGUGGAAUGUGUAGAUAUCGG